rnacentral:lncRNA from 1 species
AUCAGUUUGUAACUUAAAUGAAAAUCUUAACUCUUAGGAGAGUGUUCUGUGGAUCCCCAACCUCCUUUUCUUAUCGUUGUAUCAGUUGGGUUUUUAUUAUCUUUGUUUAAGUCAGCUCCUAUUCCUUUUUAUAGAUUUCAGAGGAUACCAGUAUGGAAAAUUUGUUCACUGAUGAUAAUGUAGACAAGCACAGGACCAGCUCACCACAUGGGUCAACCAAGUUAUCAAUGAAGGAUCCAACUACUGAUGUGGAAAAUGGGAAACAGCCGAGUGUUGUCCUCAAAGAUCUCUUCUUUCAACAGACAAGCCCCCAGACAUAUCAUGUGGGGUUGGAGCAACCUUCAAAUUCUGAUGGAGAAAGUAAGCAAGUGAAUGCCAUAAGUAUCUUGGAAUCUGAAGUGGCUGAUGCUUUAGCUGAGAGCAAGGAUGGCAAGACUGGGAAGCCAUGCUAUGAAAACAAGUCACCACUUGGAGCAAAUGUCACACAGAGGAAGAAACGGGCCUCUUCCCUUUACCUAAAAUGUCAGACUAUAGCUGUGGACUUUGAGACAGACAUAUGCUCAAAUCGUUUUUCCCGGUGGGCCACUGGCCCUAGAAGUCCUGUGAGACAAACGAAUGGACGAGAAGCUUCCACCUUCUCAUGGCUCUUUGAUCCCCACUGUGAUUCCAACAGCAAUACCUCUCUACUGGAGGAUGCAAUGCUUUCUGGGCAGCUACCAGGGGAAAUAGUGGGUAGUAAGAAUAGGUCUUUGAGUACUAAUGGGCAGGACAGAUCAGUCACAACUUUGACAGAGGACCAAAACAAAAUCACCAGUAGUGCUGACAAAGAUGUUGCCUCACCUUUGAGAUUCGAGAAUUGUGUUUUUACAGAACAGGAGGUCCAAGACACAGCUGGAAUAUAUCCUAUUGAGAAUUCAGACAACAAUAGGAAAAAACAGUCCCAGAGCCUUAGAACACUGAGCCCAGUGGCCCAGACAUCAAGUAAAUUAGCACUGAUAUCAUCUGUGUUCCCAAUGGAGAUGGACUCUUUGGGAGAAAACCCAACCCCCACAAGCAGCAGGCCUCCUGAGGACCAGCUUUACCAAGUAAGUGACAGAAUUAGAAAAUGUAGGCAAACCUAUUCAAGGAGUGAGGUGUGUUCAGAUAGCCAAGAAAAGAUAGCAUUACCUCCCUCUGAAAAGAGAAGGAAAACGUUUUCAGAAAAACAGAUCGAGGUGGAGAACCAGAGCCCAAAUUGUGAUCCAACUUGUGGGAGGUCUGGGGUGAAACGAUCAUCUCAGAAGAAUAAGGUCACUGAUAAGCAGAUGUUCUCAAAUGAGAUAAAUAAGGAAAUAAAACAGAUAAGAAACAGGAUGUCUACUGAUUUACUCAACACUCCUAGCAAAGUAAAUGACUACAGAGAAAAAAACAGAAAAGAGUCAGAAAAGGUGGUGAUAAAUAUGGACCAGCAGAUCCCAAAUACAAUCAGUCAGGCUCCCCAGUGUUUACCUUGUGUGAGAACACUCAGUGUGGAAAUUCCGCAGAAAAUGACUGACAAGCCUUUGAAACAGGAAGUAAGCAGGAGGACCCAUGGCACUAAAGCCAGUGACUGCAGAAAGGAAAACAUGAUUCCACUGGAAUGCAACUUGAAGCAUGACUCUCAAGAACAUAUACUUAGGCACGAAACUAAAGGAAGACAAGUAAAACAGAAUAAAAACCAACCGAGGAAGGCAUGCUCACAGAAGAGUAAAAUGGAAACUUCUAACUCAGACAAUAAACAAAGCAGUGUAAAGGAUUCACCGAGCAGAAAGAAGCAAGCUCUGAAAAGUCAUGUAGGUAACUCUAGAAUUCCUAUACUGGCUUCGUGUUCUAUGGAACCAGGCCUAAAUAACAUACGCCAUGCUUCUGUUAAGAGUAUGGAGGACAUCCAAAAUAAUGUGAAUAAGAAACAGACACCAUCAACUGUACAGAUCAAUGCAACUAGGAAUGUGUUGCGGUCAAUGACUAAAGCAAAGCAAAAGGUUGAAAAUGUUCUUUCAGCCAAAGACCAAUCUGAUUUUGGAAAAAAAGUUGUUUCUGGGACUGUUUCAGGAGAACACGAAUCCACAGAAGUUGGCCAAGUGAUGCAGGAUGAAGGAAGUGAUAGCCUUUCUAAAGCAGAGAGAAACUUCUCCCAGAGAGUCACCAAAAAAUUGGUCCUGAAUAGUUCUGGGUCUUUGGAACCCUCCUAUGUGAUCUCGUCCCCAGAGCAACCUGUAAGGACUUCUGCUGUAGCAGCCUUCCAACUUCUGGAACCCCAUGUGGUAAAUGGUAGAGUUUUAACAGCCCUUCUGCUGAGCCAGAGAGUUGCCAAAUCACCAAAGGAAGGAACUCCCCUACUGGCCAAAAAGAUAGCUGGAGUGUGGCAGUUCUUCCUGGAGGCUCUUUGAGUGAAAAUACUCCAAAGAAAGAAAACCAAGAGUCAUACAACAUGGAAAACACCAGAUUUUCUUCAUCAAAAUUCCUGAGAGAUUCCACAGUAAGACGUUCAGUGAGAAAGAAAGAAAAUCUUGUUAGCUAUCAAGAGCCUCGACUCAAUUG